rnacentral:rRNA from 1 species
AUUGCCUCAGUAACGGCGAGUGAAGCGGCAACAGCUCAAAUUUGAAAUCUGGCCCCAGGCCCGAGUUGUAAUUUGCAGAGGAUGCUUUUGGCGCGGUGCCUUCCGAGUUCCCUGGAACGGGACGCCAUAGAGGGUGAGAGCCCCGUACGGUUGGACACCAAGCCUUUGUAAAGCUCCUUCGACGAGUCGAGUAGUUUGGGAAUGCUGCUCUAAAUGGGAGGUAUAUUUCUUCUAAAGCUAAAUAUAGGCCAGAGACCGAUAGCGCACAAGUAGAGUGAUCGAAAGAUGAAAAGCACUUUGAAAAGAGGGUUAAACAGCACGUGAAAUUGUUAAAAGGGAAGCGCUUGUGACCAGACUUGCGUCCGGUGAAUCACCCAGCUCUCGCGGCUGGGGCACUUUGCCGGCACAGGCCAGCAUCAGCUCGCUGUCGGGGACAAAAGCUUCGGGAACGUAGCUCUCUUCGGGGAGUGUUAUAGCCCGUUGCAUAAUACCCUUCGGUGGGCUGAGGUACGCGCUCCGCAAGGAUGCUGGCGUAAUGGUCAUCAGCGACCCGUCUUGAAACACGGACCAAGGAGUCAACCUUAUGUGCGAGUGUUUGGGUGUUAAACCCCUACGCGUAAUGAAAGUGAACGCAGGUGAGAGCUUCGGCGCAUCAUCGACCGAUCCUGAUGUUCUCGGAUGGAUUUGAGUAAGAGCAUAUAGGGUUGGACCCGAAAGAAGGUGAACUAUGCGUGUAUAGGGUGAAGCCAGAGGAAACUCUGGUGGAGGCUCGCAGCGGUUCUGACGUGCAAAUCGAUCGUCAAAUAUGCGCAUGGGGGCGAAAGACUAAUCGAACCUUCUAGUAGCUGGUUUCCGCCGA